rnacentral:lncRNA from 1 species
AGAAGAUUUCCUGACUAGACUAAGCGGCAUCCUAGAAAUGUAGCACGCUAGAAUUCAUUGAGUUCCUUACAGCGACCCAUUCCCAGGAACGCCAGCCUGACAAUAAAGUAAACUCCUUCUCAAAAAUAUUAGGAUCAGGUAGGCAGAAGACAAUGUCUACAACUCUUUCACCUCGUACAUGGUAUUAUAGUUAUUAAUAAAACGUAUAAAAAUAAAAUUAGUAAUUUAUUAAUGUCUCACAGUUUUUGAGACAUUUUGGCUGGACCAACUGUGUCGACUUUUAAUUGUUUUGGUUUUGAGUUAGAAGUGAAACUCUUUUCUGGCUUUCAAAACAGAAGCACUAUGGAAGUUGGCAGUAGCUGUGACUGGAUUUGGAGUAACCAUGGGUGUCAUCUUACUGGUGCUGGGGCUGCUCACAUUCAAAAGAAGAAGUGAAACAAGUUCUCAAAGCAGGACAAAGGCAACAUCACCAGGUAUUGUAUACAUUUAUCUGUCAGGCAGCAUUACAAACUAUCAAUCCAUGUAUUAUAUUUUUUAGUGAGUUUUUCUUUUGUUACAGGUGAUUUUUUAUCAAUGACUAAAAUGAACCAGGGAAGAAUGGUAAUCGAAAUGAAAAUGUUUCUGUCAAAUGAAACAUACACUAAAUUAAAACAAUCAAUUUAAAUACCCAGGAUAUAAAGUUGAUUUUUUCCCCUGUUGUGUUAAGUUACCUGCAGGUAAUGAUGGAGGCUCCAGUGUGAUCACUUCAGUACCUGACGACAACUAUCUGACUAGUAAGCUGUGUUUUUUCUAGCAUCUACCUGAAUGUAGUGUAGUACAAGAUGGAGGGCAAUUUGAUGGUGAAAUUGUUGUACAAGUAGCACAAGAACGUGAUGACUGUUUUAACAGUAAUAUUUUAAUUUGCUCAAACCUUUGUUCCAUAUCUAUAGCAUAUGUAGUUAUCACCGCUGACUAACUUUCAAUAAUAUAGUUGAUUUUUUCCAGUGUAUCACAAGGGAGCUUUGGCUUUGAUAACAUUUUACUACCUUGUAAUAAAGACAUUUACUUGACCACUAAAGAGCCUUUAAAAUGUUCACAUUUUUAAAAGCACUAUGACAUAUACAGUUACAAGAAAAAAUUUGUGAACC